rnacentral:rRNA from 1 species
UACGUAGGGACCGAGCGUUGUCCGGAUUCAUUGGGCGUAAAGAGCUCGUAGGCGGCCACUCAAGUCGAAUGUGAAGCCUCGAGGCUUAACCUCGAGCCUGCAUUCGAUACUGGGCGGCUAGAGUCUGGUAGGGGGAUCUGGAAUUCCUGGUGUAGCGGUGGAAUGCGCAGAUAUCAGGAGGAACACCGGUGGCGAAGGCGGGAUCCUGGGCCAGUACUGACGCUGAGGAGCGAAAGCAUGGGGAGCGAACAGG